rnacentral:rRNA from 1 species
GUAGGGAAUCUUGCGCAAUGGGCGAAAGCCUGACGCAGCCAUGCCGCGUGAAUGAUGAAGGUCUUAGGAUUGUAAAAUUCUUUCACCGGGGACGAUAAUGACGGUACCCGGAGAAGAAGCCCCGGCUAACUUCGUGCCAGCAGCCGCGGUAAUACGAAGGGGGCUAGCGUUGCUCGGAAUUACUGGGCGAAAAGGGAGCGUAGGCGGAUAGUUUAGUCAGAGGUGAAAGCCCAGGGCUCAACCUUGGAAUUGCCUUUGAUACUGGCUAUCUUGAGUAUGAGAGGUAUGUGGAACUCCGAGUGUAGAGGUGAAAUUCGUAGAUAUUCGGAAGAACACCAGUGGCGAAGGCGACAUACUGGUCCAUUACUGACGCUGAGGCUCGAAAGCGUGGGGAGCAAACAGGAUUAGAUACCCGUGUAGUCC